rnacentral:rRNA from 1 species
UACGUAGGGUGCAAGCGUUGUCCGGAAUUAUUGGGCGUAAAGAGCUCGUAGGCGGCCCUGUAAGUCCGCUGUGAAAGUCAAAGGCUCAACCUUUGAAAGCCGGUGGAUACUGCAGGGCUAGAGUUCGGAAGAGGCGAGUGGAAUUCCCGGUGUGGCGGUGAAAUGCGCAGAUAUCGGGAGGAACACCUAUGGCGAAGGCAGCUCGCUGGGACGUUACUGACGCUGAGACGCGAAAGCGUGGGGAGCAAACAGG